rnacentral:rRNA from 1 species
CCCUUAGAUGUCCUGGGCCGCACGCGCGCUACACUGAACGGAUCAGCGCGUUUUCCCUUCCCGAGAGGGACGGGUAACCUGCUGAACCCCGUUCGUGGGAGGGAUCGGGGCUUGCAAUUAUUCCCCGUGAACCAGGAAUGCCCAGUAAGUGCAAGUCAUAAGCUUGCGUUGAUUACGUCCCUGCCCUUUGUACACACCGCCCGUCGCUACUACCGAUUGAACGUUUUAGUGAGGUACUCGGACUGAGCCUCAGAAGAUUCACGUCUUUUGUGCUGCUCGGGAAGAUUCCCAAACUUGAGCGUUUAGAGGAAGUAAAANUCGUANCA